CUGGGUUUGGUCCUUGUGGCUGACUUGGUUGGGAUGGCAGGUAGCUCAUUGGUUGGCUCGUCCAGUCUUUGGGUGUAAUCAGCUGGCUGCAGCAGUAUUGUGCAAUGCGUCGGAGACUGCGGCUUCAGGUAUUUGCUCUUGUGCCGUUGGUUGACAGUGUUGAGUUUGACUGGCGUGUUACCUGCUUCGGUGGGUCCGUCGGUAGCUUAGUGCUGUACGGUCAGCGGUCGCUUGGGUGAUAUCGUUCAUGGGCCCAUAGUCUGUGGUGUAGCAGCAAACGAUCCACCUGACCCGUCUUGAAACACGGACCAAGGA
rnacentral:rRNA from 1 species